UUUUAAAUCAAAUGUAUUCCUUUUUUUAUCCUCCCCUGAAGAUAUGUAUAUUGAUUUUAGAGAGAGAGGAAGGGAGAGU